UCUCUUUUUUUAUAUAGCUCUUCAUGUGUUUUUUGGUACUUAUAAAUGUAUUCAUUUCAUUUUUUUGGGGUUUGAGUGUUCCUGAUUCAGAAAAUGAUCCUGACGGAAUUUUUAAAUUUAUAAUCGUGUUAUUUUCAUUUGGUAAAGUUUGGAAGGGAAGAGGGUCAAAUUCAUACAGGGUGCAUUAUCCCCCUGAAUGUUUUAUGAAGGGAGUGGGACAAGAGAACCCAAACAAGUCAUUAAAUAAAUGGUCAUUUGCGUCUUCAACAGCUGUU
rnacentral:lncRNA from 1 species